CUGAUAAGGGAGACUACGAAGCAACUAACUAAGUGGGCAUGAAGGAAGCCUCUCCACUGAAGGAAGCCUCUCCACUGUAUUUUCCAAGUCUAAAUGCAUGAGUAGUCUGCAGGAGCUGGGACUGGAUUUUCAGGCUUUCAGGAAACUAUUUCUUUUCACGAUGAGUUUCUGCUACACUAAUGCUCCAGAAAUCCUGUAGGACAGAGUACAUUUACUGCACCAGCUAGCAGCCCACUUGCAUUGCCAUGGACACACCUUAAGGAGCUGGAGAUGUGAGCUGCUGUGACUAAGAUUCGCACAAAACAUCAUGCAAGUGCAGAGACGAGCACAGGAUGGGUGGUACAAUAAGGAACGGUACUUAUACGGUGAUGAAUAACAUGUAGGUGAGUACAUAAGACACGCUGGAAGCAUUGCAGGAAUCUGAGGGUGGUGGUAAAAGCGUUGCCAAAAACCUGUCCUGGAAAAAAGCAUUUCAGGAUGGCAAGCCUUAAUGCAAGUUACCAGGUGCACGGAGGCCGUCUCUGUGAAAAAGCCUUCAGAAAGCCAAGAUGUGCAUAAAGGAGAAGCCAGCUUACACACAGGGAUGAGCAGGGGCCCGGUGGCGGAACAAGCCGCCAUGCUAUGAGUGUAAGGGUAGUGCUGCAAAGUAUUGUGGGAGCACACGCACAAAACUAACAAUCUUUAUAGUAGUUUUUGGGGAGGUAAAGAACACAUACAUGCAGCUAGCAUGCUAAAUAAAUGCUACCUAGAUACCCUAGAGCAUCACUCACGAUUGGCCACUAAGGAGGCUACGAUCAUGUGAAAAGAGUGGAACUCUACAGGAGAGUCUGUCCUCAGGCCAAAUGUGUACUGUAGCAUUUAGUUGGUGGCAAUAAUGAUAAUGAGGAGACGCACAGAGAGAACUCUCCAAUCACAUAAAGAG